AUUGAACGCUGGCGGCAGGCCUAACACAUGCAAGUCGAACGAGCGGCGGACGGGUGAGUAAUGUCUGGGAAACUGCCUGAUGGAGGGGGAUAACUACUGGAAACGGUAGCUAAUACCGCAUACCAUCAGAUGUGGCCAGAUGGGAUUAGCUAGUAGGUGGGGUAAUGGAUCACCUGGGCGACGAUCCCUAGAUGGGCUGAGAGGAUUACCAUCCACACUGGAACUGAGACACGGCCCAGACUCCUACGGGAGGCAGCAGUGGGGAAUAUUGCACAAUGGGCGAAAGCCUGAUGCAGCCAUGCCGCGUGUGUGAAGAAGGCCUUCGGGUUGUAAAGCACUUUCAGCGAGGAGGCGUUACUCGCAGAAGAAGCACCGGCUAACUCCGUGCCAGCAGCCGCGGUAAUUC
rnacentral:rRNA from 1 species